rnacentral:ncRNA from 2 species
AAUUUUGAUAGAGGCGCGGUUAUUAAGAGUAAGUACACUAAGCGAUCCAGCGAUGAGGUGUGCCGAAAGGAAUAAUUGCCGAAGUAAAAGCUGCGGUAUAAGGACUUUUACUGGUUAUGUAUUUAAUAGGUACAUGACUGUCACCCAGACGUUGGGUGGAGCACUAUCUCUUAA